UCACUUACCUAGAUGGAGUCAAUGGGUGAUCAAGAAGAUCCAUGGCCUAAGUUAGUGACGUCCAUUGCACUUAGGAGGGGUGCUACCUUAAGGUCGGUCCGAAUGGUCAAGCCUACAUCAUGAUUUGUGGCAGUGGGGGCUUGUGUUCGCGCAGCCUUCAC
rfam:Helianthus annuus linkage group 14, whole genome shotgun sequence.